rnacentral:lncRNA from 1 species
UAGUGCAGAAUGCAACUAGGCAUUAAAACAAUAUUGUCAUAUUUUUUGAAAUUUUCCCAAAAUCUAUGGGCUAACUAACCCCUACAAAAAUAUUAAGUUUUUGGUAAAUACUUUAUAUACUGAAGCCUAUAAUCUUUAGUGUUGUUUUAAAAUUUCUAUCAUAUUCUACAUUUGUAUUAAUGUAUGCUAAACUAUUUUUCAUUGUAAAUGAGCAUCUUUCAAUUGUUUUUAUCAAAUAAUUUAAUAAAACUUCAUAAUACAAAUGAAUAUCUUUCAAUUCUUUUUAUCAAAUAAUUUAAUUAAACUUCAUAAUACUCUCUAAAUCGAUGGAAUAACCACUAUAAAGUUAUUAUUUUCUUGAUAAACGGAGACGACAAAAGCUUCAAACCUCUUUGAACAUCAACAUAUGUUAGUGCGGGAUGCAAAUAGACAUUAAAACAAUAUUGUCAUAUUUUUUGAAAUUUUCUCAAAAUCUAUGGGCUAACCCCUACAAAAAUAUUAAGUUUUGGGUAAAUACUUUAUAUACUGAAGCCUAUAAUCUUUAGUGUUGUUUUAAAAUUUCUAUCAUAUUCAACAUUUGUAUUAAUGUAUGCUAAACUUAUUUUCAUGGUAAAUGAACAUCUUUCAAUUGUUUUUAUCAAAUAAUUUAAUAAAACUUCAUAAUACUCUCUAAAUCGAUGGAAUAACUACUAUAAAAUUAUUAUUUUCUUGAUAAACGGAGACGACAAAGGCUUCAAACCUCUUUGAACAUCAUCAUAUGGUAGUGCAGGAUGCAACUAGGCAUUAAAACAAUAUUGUUAUAUUUUUUGAAAUUUUCUCAAAAUCUAUGGGCCUAUAAAAAUAUUAAGCUUUUUGGAAAAUACUUUAUAUACUGAAGCCUAUAAUCUUUAAUGUUGUUUUAAAAUUUCUAUCAUAUUCUAAAUUAUUAUUAAUGUAUGGUAAACUCUUUUUCAUGGUAAAUAAACAUCGUUCAAUUGUUUUUAUCAAUUAAUAUAAUAAAGCUUCAUAAUACCCCCUAAAUCGAUGGAAUAACCACUAUAAAAUUAUUAUUUUCUUGAUAAACAGAGAGCAUAAAGGCUUCAAACCUCUUUGAACAUCAUCAUAUGUUAGUGCAGGAUGUAACUAGACAUUAAAACAAUAUUGUCAUAUUUUUUGAAAUUUUCUCAAAAUCUAACCCCUACAAAAAUAUUGAGUUUUUGGUAAAUACUUUAUAUACUGAAGACUAUAAUCUUUAGUGUUGUUUUAAAAUUUAUACCAUAUUCUACAUUUGUAUUUAUGUAUGCUAAACUAUUUUUCAUGGUAAAUGAGCAUCGUUCAAUUGUUUUUAUCAAAUAAUUUAAUAAAACUUCAUAAUACUCCCUAAAUCGAUGGAAUAACCACUAUAAAGUUAUUAUUUUCUUGAUAAACGGAGACGACAAAGGCUCCAAACCUCUUUGAACAUCAUCAUAUGUUAGUGCAGGAUGCAAAUAAACGAAGACGACAAAGGCUCCAAACCUCUUUGAACAUCAUCAUAUAUUAGUGCAUGAUGCAACUAGGCAUUAAAACAAUAUUGUCAUAUUUUUUGAAAUUUUCUCAAAGUCUAUGGGCCUAUAAUCUUUAGUGUUGUUUUAAAAUUUCUACCAUAUUCUACAUUU